rnacentral:rRNA from 1 species
GCGCCCCAUCCGUGAUGUCUUGGCUCUCGCAUCGAAGAAGAUCAUAUCAAAAUAUGAUACUUGGUGUGAAUUGUAGAAUCCCAUGAACCAUAGAUUAUUUGAACGUAAGUUACACCCGAAGCCAUUAGGCCGAGGGCACGUCUACCUGGGCAUCACGCAUCACGUCGCUCCCUUGCAUCGCGCAUCAAUCAUGGGGCGUACUGUUGUCGUGGGGCGGAUAUUGUCCUCCCAUGAACCUCGAGCUCGCGGAUGGCCUAAAUGCGAGUCAACGUUGAUGGAUGUCACGGAAAGUGGUGGUUGUAUCUCAACUCUCUUUGUUGUCGCGGCUAAAACCCGAAGCGCGUCUGGACUCCAGGACCCUUUCGCGCUUAGGCAUUCCGACCGCGACCUCAGUUCAGGCAGGAUUAACUGCUGAGUUUAAGAAUAUUAAUAAGAGAAGGAAAAAAAACUUACAAAGAUUUCCUUAGUAACGACGAGCGAACCGGGAACAGUCCAGCCAUAGAAUCGGGCGGCUCCAUCGUCCGAAUUAUAGUUUGAAGAAGCGUCCUCAGCAGCGGACCGGGACCAAGUCCCCUGAAAGGGGGCGCCAGAGAGGGUGAGAACCCCAUUAUGCCUGAACCCUGUCGCACCACGAGGCACUAUCUACGAGUCGGGUUGUUUGGAAAUGCAGCCUAAAUUGGGCGGUGAAUUCCAUCCAAGGCUAAAUAUAGGCGACAGACCGAUAAUGAACACGUACUGCGAGGGAAAGAUGAAAAGGACUUUGAAAAGAGAGUCAAAAAAUGCUUGAAAUUAUUGGGAGGGAAGAGGUUGGGGGCCGACGAUGCACCCUAAUCGAAUGUAGAAUGGCGACGAGCUGGUCCGCCGAUUGACUCGGGGUGUGGACCAGCGUGGAUUUGGGGUCAGCUAAAGCCCGGGCUUUCAAUAUGCUUGUGGAAUGCUGUCUCCUCAAUUGUGGCAGGCAGCGCGCGCCUUCGGUGGUCUUUGGCAUCUGCGCACUACUGACGCUUGCCUGUGGGCUCCCCAUUUGACCCGUCUUGAAAAAUGGACCAAGGAGUCUGACAUGUAUGCGAGUCAAUGGACGAGUAAACCCGUAAGGUGUAAGAAAGCUGAGUGGUGGUAUCCUCCCGAGGGGUUCACCACCGACCGACCUUGAUCUUCUGAGAAGGGUUUGAUCGUGAGCAUACCUGUUAGGACUCGAAAGAUGGUGAACUAUGCCUUAGUGGGGCGAAACCAGAGGAAACUCUGGUUAAGGCCCGCAGUGAUACUGACGUGCAAAUUCUUCAUCUAACUUAGGUGUAAGGCCUGCGGCUGCUGUGUCGAGCUGUGCUAAGGAAUCAAGAGCUCUAAGUGGGCCAUAAUUGGUAAGCAGAACUGGUGAUGCGGGAUGUACCGAAAUCCGGGUUACGUUGCCAAGCUGCGCGCUAACCUAGAUCCCACAAAGGGUGUUGGUCGAUUAAGAUAGCAGGACAGUGGUCAUGGAAGCCAAAAUCCACUAAGGAGUGUGUAACAACUCACCUGUCAAAUAAACUAGCCUCGAAAAUAGAUGGCGAUUAAGCGCACGACCUACACCCGGCUGUCGGGGAACGUUCCAGGCCUCGAUGAGUAGGAGGGCGCGGCAGUCACUGCAAAACCUUGGGCGCGAGCCCGAGUAGAGCGUCUGUCGGUGCAGAUAUUGGUGGUAGUAGCAAAUAUUAAUAUGAGAACUUUGAAGGCCAAAGAGGGGAAAGGUUCCAUGUGAACAGCACUAGCACAUGGAUUAGUCGAUCCUAAAGGUCGGGGAAUCGGGUUAAAAUUCGUGGACCCGGAUGUGGUGAUCGACAGCACUUGCACAUGCAAUUGUUGCACAUGCAAUUGUUGGCCUUAGUAACGGCGAGCGAACCGAGAACAGCCCAGCCUUAGAAUCGGGCAGUUCCAUCGUCCGAAUUGUAGUUUGGAGAAGCAUCCUUAGUGGCCGAUCAGGCCAAAGUCCCCUGGAAGAGGGCGCCAGAUGAUACGCCCAAAUUACAACUUUCGUUAGAAAGUGUAAGCGGUCGCUGUCAAAUAUAGAACCCAACUGGGUUGGGUGUCGAAUCCCACAGAGAAUACUAUGAUCACUAAGUACUACGAUUAUUAUUAGACUAUUGAUUGAAGGUUGCAAGGUAAGGGGGUUUCAGUUUAGGUGCACAAUAAUAUAUUCAGUGUAACGAUGAGACGAUAUGUGUAAUAAUAUUUGAUCACAAAGAAUGAUAAGUUAGGGUUAUGUCCACCUUGUAGCUUCUACUUCUCUAUUAACUAUGAGUAAUACGGAUUUUUAUAUAUGUAUGCACUUAUAGAGAGAUAUAUUCUAAUUCUAAAUCCAAUUUUUUUUCAAACAUUAAGGAUUUAUUCAACUUAGUUCUGUCGAAUCCAAAGUGUGCAACAAAUUGUAUGAACUCUCCAAGAAGUUAAUCCUGCUAGGGCAUUAACGUGUAAAAUAGAGGUUGGAAACCCUAUUUUCUCGUCACACUCUCUUUUCCAAACAGUAACUUUUCUAUAAAACAAGUUAUUGCUAUAAUGGCGCAUUCCCUAUGUUUGCAACCAUGAGAAUUCAAUCAAAAUGAAGAGAGUAAUGAUAUAAGUGGAUUAACACAUCAUAAAUUCAAAAACCCAUAGCAAUAGAGAGUAUACGACAAGGUUUCCCUAAACCAAACAGAUAAACUUAGCUAAUCAUGAAUAAAACAGAAAUCAACAUAGAAAUAUUCAUCAUACCAAAACUUAGAACGAUCUUGGUGAUGAAGGUAACUAGAGAAACUAAGAGAGAAACACGUUUAUCUCUCUCUAUCCUCAAGCUAAGCCGCUUUCUCUUG